rnacentral:rRNA from 1 species
AGUGAACGCUGGCGGCGUGCCUAAUACAUGCAAGUCGAACGAAGUGGCGCACGGGUGAGUAAUAUAUAGUUAAUCUGCCCUACACAGAGGAACAACAGUUGGAAACGACUGCUAAUACCUCAUAGUGUAGGAUGAGACUAUAUCGUAUCAGCUAGUUGGUAAGGUAAUGGCUUACCAAGGUUAUCACGGGUAACUGGUCUGAGAAGAUGAUCAGUCACAUGGGAACUGAGACACGGUCCAAACUCCUACGGGAGUCAGCAGUAGUGUGUAUUGCUCAAUGGGGGAAACCCUGACGCAGCAACGCCGCGUAGAGGAUGACACUUUUCGGAGCGUAAACUCCUUUUAUCAGGAAAGCGGUACCUGAUGAAUAAGCAACGGCUAACUACGUGCCAGCAGCCGCGGUAAUAC